GACGAACGCUGGCGGCGUGCUUAACACAUGCAAGUCGAACGGAAAGGCCCCUUUGGGGGUCCUCGAGUGGCGCACGGGUGAGUAACACGUGAGUAACCUGCCCUUGACUUCGGGAUAACUUCAGGAAACUGGGGCUAAUACCGGAUAGGAAUCCUUGCUGCAUGGUGGGGGUUGGAAAGCUUCGGCGGUUUUGGAUGGACUCGCGGCUUAUCAGCUUGUUGGUGGGGUAGUGGCUUACCAAGGCUUUGACGGGUAGCCGGCCUGAGAGGGCGACCGGCCACAUUGGGACUGAGAUACGGCCCAGACUCCUACGGGAGGCAGCAGUGGGGAAUAUUGCACAAGGGGCGGAAGCCUGAUGCAGCAACGCCGCGUGCGGGAUGACGGCCUUCGGGUUGUAAACCGCUUUCAGCAGGGGCGAAGCUUGUGGUGACGGUACCUGCAGAAGAAGCACCGGCUAACUACGUG
rnacentral:rRNA from 1 species